CGCGUCUCGAUCGCAGAGUUCCAGGCUUUCUUGACAAACCUGUACCUCAACUGCGUUCCGUCACAUUUUUCUCACGGCCGUUGAGAUUUGCUGUCAAGUAAAACAUUACGAUGUACAUUGCCAUCUUAAUUGUUUCCUUUGUCAAAGUGGAUCGUGAGGGUCCAACUCGUCGACGGUGUCGGCAUUUUAUAAGUUUGAAAGUACAAUAUUGAACACACUUAUGGAUAACAACUUGUUUUGUUCAAUAUUGAACGGGACCUGUAUAUAAACUAACGGACAAAAAAAACGAUACUAAAUCAC